GAAAGAAAAGAAAUGAAAAAUGAGAAUUUUGAAACAAGGCCAUCAGCUUUCUCAACUAGUACAGGUGUUCCAGGACGUAGCCCGGAUCUGGGAUUCUGGAAGGAGAAAGCCAUAUCUGCCUGUAUCUCGAAGGCCUUGGUCUCCUUUUCAGACUCUGCGGCAGGUCCACAGUAAGUUUCAUCACAGGGGUUUCGAGAGGCUCCAAUUUCUGGAAAAACAUAUGAUGUUAAUGGCAAGGAUCACCUAGUGAAGUUCUUGUGGGGAUGUUUUAAACUUUCAAAUUAGGGAGUUGUUUUCAUAGGAGUCCUUAUCAAGGAGUCCU
rnacentral:lncRNA from 1 species